AGAUUGAACGCUGGCGGCAUGCCUAACACAUGCAAGUCGAACGGGAGUAGCAAUACUCUAGUGGCGGACGGGUGAGGAAUACGUAGGAAUUUGCCCUUAAGUGGGGGAUAACCCGGGGAAACCCGGAUUAAUACCGCAUGACCUCGAAAGAGCAAAGUGGGGGAUCGCAAGACCUCACGCUUUUGGAGAAGCCUACGUCGGAUUAGCUAGUUGGUGAGGUAAUGGCUCACCAAGGCGACGAUCCGUAACUGGUCUGAGAGGAUGAUCAGUCACACCGGAACUGAGACACCGGUCCGGACU
rnacentral:rRNA from 1 species